rnacentral:lncRNA from 1 species
AUUCUAGAUACUUAAUCUUAGCCAUUAGAUGAAAUGUAUCCUCACCGUCCAUGGAGGAGGUGGAGGCCUAUAUAUAGCUUAGAGAUUUCAUUUGUAAGUAUCAAGCAUCAAGUUGUAAUCAAGCUAUUCAAGCUUAAUAGAAGAGCAAGUAGUUUCUCUCUCUAGAAAUUCUCUCUCUAAGCUUUCUUAAGCUUCCUUUUGUUCUUCUUGCCAUUCUCGCUAGCAUUUUGCCUAGCAUAAGGAGGAGUAGGCUGACUAGCUGACUUGUUUCCGCGAGAAAGUAGCUAGUGCCGCACGGUUCGUUGGUAGCAAACAUCAAGCCCGUGACAGUUGGUAUCAGAGCAAGGUUAGACAAUCGUUGAAAUGGCAAAGACAUCAGGAGCAAGUGAGGCUGCUAGAGUUCCGGAAGAGGUAAGGCAACUCCAUAGUGAAGUUGUGAAGGACCAGCCGGAAGCGUCCAAGCCACCAAGGAAGGAAAGAGGAAGGUCGAGGGAUGUUGUGUCUGACAUGGAAGCCAGGCUAGCCAAGGUAGAGCUAACUGUGGCCGAGGGACAAGAUACGUUCUGGGAUUUAGAGCAACGCAUCGGGGAGCUCGAGAAUGGAAGAG